rnacentral:ncRNA from 1 species
CGAAAUGCCGUGAAGGGGAAGAGUAUGCGUUUCAAUCUUUUUCAGAGAGAGAAUCAUUUGCUGAGAGAUUCUUAAGCUCUUGAAUGCAGAAGUCACCCCAGAUGCAGCUUCUUUGAAACGUGGAGUAGGAGAAGCCGGAGUCCAUCCGUUACAUGUUGAAGUGUACAGUUUAGAUAGGUGAAGUCUAUCUAAUAGCUGUAAAUUAAGGUGGUACCGCGAAUCCUUUUCGUCCUUUUU